UUUGGUGAGACUGCCGGUGACAAACCGGAGGAAGGUGGGGAUGACGUCAAAUCAUCAUGCCCCUUAUGACCUGGGCUACACACGUGCUACAAUGGAUGGUACAACGAGUUGCGAACUCGCGAGAGUAAGCUAAUCUCUUAAAGCCAUUCUCAGUUCGGAUUGUAGGCUGCAACUCGCCUACAUGAAGUCGGAAUCGCUAGUAAUCGCGGAUCAGCAUGCCGCGGUGAAUACGUUCCCGGGCCUUGUACACACCGCCCGUCACACCAUGAGAGUUUGUAACACCCAAAGUCGGUGGGGUAACCUUUUAGGAACCAGCCGCCUAAGGUGGGACAGAUGAUUGAGGGUGAAGUCGUAACAAGGUAGC
rnacentral:rRNA from 2 species